rnacentral:rRNA from 1 species
UACGGGGGGGGCAAGCGUUGUUCGGAAUUACUGGGCGUAAAGGGCUCGUAGGCGGCCAACUAAGUCGGAUGUGAAAUCCCCAAGCUUAACUUGGGAACUGCAUCCGAUACUGGAUGGCUUGAAUCCGGGAGAGGGAUGCAGAAUUCCAGGUGUAGCGGUGAAAUGCGUAGAUAUCGGGAGGAAGGCCGGUGGCGAAGGCGGCGCUCUGGAACAUUUCUGACGCUGAGGCUCGAAAGCGUGGGGAGCAAACAGG